UACAGGGGGUGCAAACGUUGCUCGGAAUUAUUGGGCGUAAAGCGCGCGUAGGCGGCCACUUAAGUCGGAUGUGAAAGCCCCUGGCUCAACUGGGGAAGUGCACCCGAAACUGAGCGGCUUGAAUGCAAAAGAGGGUCGCGGAAUUCCCGGUGUAGAGGUGAAAUUCGUAGAUAUCGGGAGGAACACCGGUGGCGAAGGCGGCGACCUGGGUUGACAUUGGCGCUGAGGCGCGAAAGCGUGGGGAGCAAACAGG
rnacentral:rRNA from 1 species